UCUUUCUUUUUAUUUAUCUAAAAUUCUGUGUAGUGAUGCUUUCAAGAGACUAGUAAAAGCACCAAUAAGAAUCUGUGGUGAUCGACAGAUCAAAAGAAUUCAUUCGUCUCCGACAGUUAAGUUCUUAAAAAAAAAAAAAAAAAAUCUGCUCUGUAUUUGAUUUUCCUGAUCUGUUAUUUCAUCUGCUUGUUUUGCUUUGAUCCAUCUCAUUUCAUCUAGAAAAAAUAGAUUUUUUCCAUUGUUUUGAUGGAUUCAUGUGAAUUUCACUUCGGUUAAUUUUCACCAUACAACUUGUUUUUGUAUGUUAUGUAACAAGGAACAGAAGGUUUGAGAGAAUGUUAGCCUCGCAUGACGUGUCUGACUCCCACCAUCAGAAGCAAUCUUCCUUGGUUAUGGUUUCUCAAAGGCAUCAGUCCUGUGGCGAUAUUGAAGAAUGUAGCUCAAGUGACAAGAUAUUCUGACCAAAACCAGCAGCAAUCUUCUAAGAUACAGCAACACUCCUCAAUAUAAAAUGCAUCAAUAAGAAGACAGGAGAGAAGUACAUGGAAGGGCCCAAGGUUGAAAAGUACAAGGAGAUGCUGAUGAAGAAAACUCAAGAUCAGGGCGCCCGGUUUAUUUCUUAUGACCCAGUCAAAGGGGAGUGGAAGUUCAAGGACUUAUCUAUGUGCAAGGAAACAUUGUCAACCCUUAAAGUCAUGCAGGGGCAAGGGGGCUAUCCACAACUAGAACUGGACAUAGCUCACCUUGAAAAGGAAAUUGAGUUAUAUUCACUGGAGAAGCUGUGUUAUGAAGCUCAAAUGAUGGUAUGGUAAAUGAGAAGGCUCCAUCUCCUUUUCAAAUAGGAAAUUGCUUCACAUCUGGGCUUUCCUGAUGGUUCUGUAAGCCACCAUGGUCUGGAUGUUGAUGUUAAUAGUGUGUUAUUAAUGGCUGACAUUGUUCUUUAUGGUUCCUUUGAAGUACCCAUCAUUGCUCCUGACUUGGCUAGCAUAAAAAGAUAUGUGAGUUUAGUGCCAUUUAAACUCAUCCUUGUUUCCUUUACAUUUACAUGACUGAAGUUCGCAAUUUUUUAUUUAUAUUUAUUAAAAAACCCGUCUUAAUACAGGUUGUUAACAGAGUCCAUGGUUUGAUUUUUCAAGCACGUGAACCUGA